AUUCUCAGUUCGGAUUGUAGGCUGAAACUCGCCUACAUGAAGCUGGAGUUACUAGUAAUCGCAGAUCAGAAUGCUGCGGUGAAUGCGUUCCCGGGUCUUGUACACACCGCCCGUCACACCACGGAAGUUGGGGGCGCCCGAAGCCACUUAAGCUAACCCUUUUGGGAAGCGAGUGUCGAAGGUGAAAUCAAUAACUGGGGUGAAGUCGUAACAAGGUAUC
rnacentral:rRNA from 1 species